GGAUGAUUAGCUCAGUUGGUAGAGCAGCUGACUCUUAAUCAGCGGGUCGCAGGUUCAACUCCUGCAUCAUCCA
rnacentral:tRNA from 1 species